UACGGGGGGGGCAAGCGUUGUUCGGAAUUACUGGGCGUAAAGGGCUCGUAGGUGGCCAACUAAGUCAGACGUGAAAGCCCCGGGCUUAACCUGGGAAUGGCCGUUGAAACUGGCGAACUGGAGUGUGGCAGAGGGGGGUGGAAUUCCGCGUGUAGCAGUGAAAUGCGUAGAUAUCGGAAGGAACGCCGGUGGCGAAAGCGACGUGCUGGACCUCUUCUGACGCUGAGGCGCGAAAGCUAGGGGAGCAAACGGG
rnacentral:rRNA from 1 species